ACAGCGUCAACCCCACAUAUUCAACGUGAUGUUCUUGUGAAUUAUUUUGAUUAUCGAUAGAUUGAAAAAUCCGUUUCCGAUAAUUACGUGGAUCUAAUUUUAGAUUAGAAUGGCUCAAGCUAUAAAAGGAGUCAAAUCGUAUACGACAAAUUUUAUUUUUUGAGUGUUAUCGUAUAUAUAUCAGUGGCUACUUAAAAAAAAAGAAGAUAAUUACGUCCUACGCUUAAUUAAGCAUCUUUUAGCAUGCCACAGACGAUGAAAUUUUACGUUCUGGGGAUGAUUUGUCUGCUCUGUGCUGUCUUAGUGUACAGCAGUAUGACCAGUACACCUAACAGUAUACCUAACAGUACACCUAACAGUUCAACUAACAGUUCAAAAGCGUAUAAACCGCGUAGACGCCUUAUAUCAAGUGGAGGCAGUGCGAAUAUAACAAAUGGAUGCAAUGAUAAAGUGACCUGGAUGAUUUCCAUAGUAAGUGUAAUGAUUCACUAAACAUC